rnacentral:rRNA from 1 species
GACGAACGCUGGCGGCGUGCUUAACACAUGCAAGUCGAACGGUAGCCUUCUUAUGAGGGUUAUAGUGGCGGACGGGUGAGUAACACGUAGACGAUCUGCCCCGAUGUGGGGAAUAACGUCUCGAAAGAGACGCUAAUACCGCAUAAGCUGUAUGUCGUUGGGCAUACAGGAAACUUAGGCGCAAGCCUGAGGCAUUGGGAGGGGUCUGCGGCGGAUUAGCUAGUUGGGUAGGAACGGCUGCCCAAGGCGACGAUCCGUAGCUGGUCUGAGAGGACGGCCAGCCACACUGGGACUGAGACACGGCCCAGACUCCUACGGGAGGCAGCAGUGAGGAAUAUUCCACAAUGGGCGAAAGCCUGAUGGAGCGACGCCGCGUGAGGGAAGACGCCGUUUCGGGGU